GCGGGCGUGGUGGAAUUGGUAGACACAAGGGACUUAAAAUCCCUCGGCGAUAGCCUUGCGGGUUCGAUUCCCGCCGCCCGCACCA
rnacentral:tRNA from 5 species